AUUGAACGCUGGCGGCAUGCCUUACACAUGCAAGUCGAACGGCAGCACGGGAGCAAUCCUGGUGGCGAGUGGCGAACGGGUGAGUAAUAUAUCGGAACGUGCCCAGUAGUGGGGGAUAGCCCGGCGAAAGCCGGAUUAAUACCGCAUGAGACCUGAGGGUGAAAGCGGGGGAUCGCAAGACCUCGCGCUAUUGGAGCGGCCGAUAUCAGAUUAGCUAGUUGGUGGGGUAAAGGCCUACCAAGGCAACGAUCUGUAGUUGGUCUGAGAGGACGACCAGCCACACUGGGACUGAGACACGGCCCAGACUCCUACGGGAGGCAGCAGUGGGGAAUUUUGGACAAUGGGCGCAAGCCUGAUCCAGCAAUGCCGCGUGCAGGAAGAAGGCCUCGGUUGUAAC
rnacentral:rRNA from 1 species